CCUACGGGAGGCAGCAGUGGGGAAUAUUGCACAAUGGAGGAAACUCUGAUGCAGCGACGCCGCGUGAGUGAAGAAGUAAUUCGUUAUGUAAAGCUCUAUCAGCAGGGAAGAAAAUGACGGUACCUGAGUAAGAAGCCCCGGCUAACUACGUGCCAGCAGCCGCGGUAAUACGUAGGGAGCAAGCGUUAUCCGGAUUUACUGGGUGUAAAGGGAGCGUAGACGGCAGUGCAAGUCUGAAGUGAAAGCCGGGGGCUCAACCCCCGGAAUGCUCUAGAAACUGUUCGGCUAGAGUGCAGGAGAGGUAAGUGGAAUUCAUAGUGUAGCGGUGAAAUGCGUAGAUAUUAGGAGGAACACCAGUGGCGAAGGCGGCUUACUGGACUGUAACUGACGUUGAGGCUCGAAAGCGUGGGGAGCAAACAGGAUUAGAUACCCGAGUAGUC
rnacentral:rRNA from 1 species